AUUUAUGUAUAUAUAUAUUUUAAAAAUUGAAGUAAAAACACAACAAACAGAAAAUUUUACAAAAACAUAACAAACAGAAAAUUGGUAGCUUAUUCCUCAUCAGUCAACAUCCAAAAAGAUCAUUACAGUUUCGCACCU